CAUUUGUGAAAAUGUGUGUGUGUGUGUGCAUGUGUCAAAGCUGCCUCACGACUUGUUCUCCCACUGAGUCCCUUCAUGUGCGUUAAUGUUGUGUGGGGGGGAAACACACACACACACACACACACACACACAAAAA